rnacentral:ncRNA from 7 species
GCCUGGAUAGCUCAAUUGGUAGAGCAUCAGACUUUUAAUCUGAGGGUUCAGGGUUCAAGUCCCUGUUCAGGCG